UGGUUCAGUGGUAGAAUCCUUGUCUGCCAUACAAGUGACCUGGGUUUGAUUUCCAG
rnacentral:tRNA from 1 species